rnacentral:rRNA from 1 species
AACGAACGCUGGCGGCAUGCCUAACACAUGCAAGUCGAACGAGAAGGCCGUGUCUAGUGGCGCUGGGGGGCGUGACGUGUGGGAACUUACACGUAGGUUAGGAAUAAUUCCCCGUAAGGGGUGCUAAGACCGGAUAAGGUCAUCGGACCAAGGAUUUAUGGCGGUUGGGUGGGGCCGGGUUGGUUUAGCUUGUUGGUAGUGUAUAAGCAGACCAAGGGCAGGAUCCAUAGCUGGUAUGAGAGGAUGAUCCGUCACACUGGGACUGCGGCACGGCCCAGACUCGUACGGGAGGCAGCAGUGGAUAAUAUUGGACAAUGGGCGCAAGCCUAGUCCAGCCAUGUCGCGUAAGAGAUGAUGGCCUUAGUGUUGUAAAGCUGUUUUACACGGGACGAUAAUGACAGUAACGGGAGAAUAAGCUCCGGCUAACUACGUG